UGGUAUAUGAUAUUGAGAAAGGGAAAACAACAAGAUUCUUUAUUGAGGCCUUUAAAAAAUAUCUUGACGACUUUGAAUUUAAAGAUUUUUGCGAGGCUGAAGACAGAGAAAAGCUUAUUCUUUCUAUCAUUGCAGUUGUACGACACACUUCAAUACGCGUUACAGAAACCUUGAGUCAAGUCAAAGAACAAUGUGAUAAAAAAAAUAUCAAAGAUCUUAAAAGAGUGUUCGUCAUUUACUUUUACGUCAAUAAAUCAGAUGAAGGUUGUGAGCAUACGAUUACACAGAUAUCUGAGUCUGGACAGUUCGACUUUGCAACAAUAGUACUGAUUAAUUUCAGUGGCGCUUCUCUGUCUACCAAAUAUUUUGGUUCAGUUCCGGGUAAAUACUUUCUUAAAACGGGUAAUAAAGAAUCGCUACAAAAACUAGAAGAGUGUAUACUAUCGAGAAAGGUAAGUUCAAUACUUCAAUUCACACAUACAUGCAUGUUAACUUUCAUAUGUAUAUAACUUGAGAUAACAGCAACUUUUGACAUUUAUAGUAUUGAAUUACUUAAUUCAUUUUCAUAGGCCUUUGUAGCUUAACAUUGUUUAAUGUUUAUUUCUUCAAGAAAUUGUGUGUCAACGUCUACAGUGACUUGGAUUUCCGACGGGUCAAAGCUUUUAUUGCGGAAUUAGAUCAGUUCAUUUUAAGCUCUAUUGAAUUACAAGCCGUGAAGCCUUUAACAGAACCGGUCGAUGUAACAUCACCCACCUUGAUUUGUACAACAGGGGAUGUGGAUGAGUGUCAGAAAAAACUCAAAGAGAAAGACUUGAAGGACGUUUUCUUUUGCCACAUAAUUGAUAUUGCAAAUGUAUCAUCGAAAAUUGGUAAACAUGACAGCGCUGAUGGCAGGGAUGAAGAGGAACGAAAUCCCAGUUCUGCGUCAUCUGCUGGUGCCGGAAACAAUACAACACAAAAUGCCAAAAAUAUGCCUCGGAAAAUGUCUGAGAUACUUAAUUACAAUGGAAAGUUUAAAUUUGAUUUAGAUUUUAUAAAGCAAUUUGAAACCUUUGUUCGCACAUGUUCUGAAGAAAU